GAGUUUGAUCCUGGCUCAGGAUGAACGCUGGCGGCGUGUCUUAGGCAUGCAAGUCGAAUGCUGUACUUGUACAGCAUGGCAAACGGGUGCGUAACACAUUGGUAACCUACCCUCGAGUGGGGCAUAAUCAACCGAAAGGCUGGAUAAUACCCCAUAGUUUCUUACAACAUAUGUUGUAAGAAUAAAGAUUUAUCGCUCGAGGAGGGGCCUAUGGUCUAUCAGCUUGUUGGUGAGGUAAUGGCUCACCAAGGCUCUGACAGAUAGCGGGUAUUAACGUACGACCCGCCUCACCGGGACUGAAACACUGCCCGGACUCCUACGGGAGGCUGCAGUCAAGAAUUUUCCGCAAUGCCCGAAAGGGUGACGGAGCGACGCCGCGUGCAGGAUGAAGGCCUUCGGGUCGUAAACUGCUUUUCCCAGGGAAGAAUUUUUGACGGUACCUGGGGAAUAAGGGACUGCUAACUUCGUGCCAGCAGCAGCGGUAAGACGAAGGUCCCAAGCGUUAUCCGGUGUUAUUAGGCGUAAAGCGUCCGCAGGUGGCUUAUCACAUCUUUGGUCAAAUCCCGGGGCUCAACCCCGGAACUGCCAAAGAGAUGGACAAGCUAGAGGCAGGGAGGGGCACGUGGAAUAGCUGGUGUAGUAGUAAAAUGCGUUAAUAUCAGCUAGAACACCAAAAGCGAAGGCAGCGUGCUGGAACUGUCCUGACACUCAUGGACGAAAGCGUGGGUAGCGAAUGGGAUUAGAUACCCCAGUAGUCCACGCCGUAAACGAUAGGUACUAGGCUUUGGGAGCUCGACCCUCUCAGAGCCGCUUCUAAAAAAGCUAACGCGUUAAGUACCUCGCCUGGGGAGUACGGCCGCAAGGCUAAAACUCAAAGGAAUUGACGGGAACCCGCACAAGCGGUGGAGCGUGUGGUUUAAUUCGACGAUAAGCGAGGAACCUCACCAAGGUUUGACAUCCUGGGAAUUUCCUGGAAACAGGAAAGUGCCGCAAGGAACCCAGUGACAGGUGCUGCAUGGUUGUCGUCAGCUCGUGUCGUGAGAUGUUCGGUUAAGUCCGUUAACGAGCGCAACCCCUAUGGUAUGUUACUACGUGUCAUACCAAACUGCCCUGGAUAACAGGGAGGAAGGCGGGGACGACGUCAAAUCAGCAUGGCUCUUACACCUUGGGCUACACACGCGCUACAAUGGCCGGUACAGAGGGACGCAAAGCCGUAAGGUGGAGCAAAUCCCCAAAACCGGUCUCAGUUCGGAUUGAGGUCUGCAAUUCGACCUCAUGAAGCCGGAAUCGCUAGUAACCGUGUAUCAGCCACGGCACGGUGAAUACGUUCUCGGGUUUUGUACACACCGCCCGUCACAUCAAGGGAGUCGGGGGUACCUGAAGUCCCACCAUUAGGUGGGCCCAAGGUAAAACCGAUGACAGGGAUGAAGUCGUAACAAGGUAACC
rnacentral:rRNA from 1 species